AGGUGAUAUGAACCGUUAUAACCGGCGAUACCCGAAUGGGGAAACCCAGUGUGACUCGUCACACUAUCAUUAACUGAAUCCAUAGGUUAAUGAGGCGAACCGGGGGAACUGAAACAUCUAAGUACCCCGAGGAAAAGAAAUCAACCGAGAUUCCCCCAGUAGCGGCGAGCGAACGGGGAGGAGCCCAGAGCCUGAAUCAGCAUGUGUGUUAGUGGAAGCGUCUGGAAAGGCGCGCGAUACAGGGUGACAGCCCCGUACACAAAAGCGCAUGUGCUGUGAGCUCGAUGAGUAGGGCGGGACACGUGGUAUCCUGUCUGAAUAUGGGGGGACCAUCCUCCAAGGCUAAAUACUCCUGACUGACCGAUAGUGAACCAGUACCGUGAGGGAAAGGCGAAAAGAACCCCGGCGAGGGGAGUGAAAAAGAACCUGAAACCGUGUACGUACAAGCAGUGGGAGCACCCUUUGGGUGUGACUGCGUACCUUUUGUAUAAUGGGUCAGCGACUUAUAUUCUGUAGCAAGGUUAACCGAAUAGGGGAGCCGGAGGGAAACCGAGUCUUAACCGGGCGUUAAGUUGCAGGGUAUAGACCCGAAACCCGGUGAUCUAGCCAUGGGCAGGUUGAAGGUUGGGUAACACUAACUGGAGGACCGAACCGACUAAUGUUGAAAAAUUAGCGGAUGACCUGUGGCUGGGGGUGAAAGGCCAAUCAAACCGGGAGAUAGCUGGUUCUCCCCGAAAGCUAUUUAGGUAGCGCCUCGUGAAUUCAUCUCCGGGGGUAGAGCACUGUUUCGGCUAGGGGGCCAUCCCGGCUUACCAACCCGAUGCAAACUGCGAAUACCGGAGAAUGUUAUCACGGGAGACACACGGCGGGUGCUAACGUCCGUCGUGAAGAGGGAAACAACCCAGACCGCCAGCUAAGGUCCCAAAGUCAUGGUUAAGUGGGAAACGAUGUGGGAAGGCCCAGACAGCCAGGAUGUUGGCUUAGAAGCAGCCAUCAUUUAAAGAAAGCGUAAUAGCUCACUGGUCGAGUCGGCCUGCGCGGAAGAUGUAACGGGGCUAAACCAUGCACCGAAGCUGCGGCAGCGACACUGUGUGUUGUUGGGUAGGGGAGCGUUCUGUAAGCCUGUGAAGGUGUGUCGUGAGGCAUGCUGGAGGUAUCAGAAGUGCGAAUGCUGACAUAAGUAACGAUAAAGCGGGUGAAAAGCCCGCUCGCCGGAAGACCAAGGGUUCCUGUCCAACGUUAAUCGGGGCAGGGUGAGUCGACCCCUAAGGCGAGGCCGAAAGGCGUAGUCGAUGGGAAACGGGUUAAUAUUCCCGUACUUGGUGUUACUGCGAAGGGGGGACGGAGAAGGCUAUGUUGGCCGGGCGACGGUUGUCCCGGUUUAAGCGUGUAGGUGUGUGUUCCAGGUAAAUCCGGUUCACUUUAACACUGAGGCGUGACGACGAGGCACUACGGUGCUGAAGCAACAAAUGCCCUGCUUCCAGGAAAAGCCUCUAAGCAUCAGGUAACAUCAAAUCGUACCCCAAACCGACACAGGUGGUCAGGUAGAGAAUACCAAGGCGCUUGAGAGAACUCGGGUGAAGGAACUAGGCAAAAUGGUGCCGUAACUUCGGGAGAAGGCACGCUGACACGUAGGUGAAGUGAUUUACUCAUGGAGCUGAAGUCAGUCGAAGAUACCAGCUGGCUGCAACUGUUUAUUAAAAACACAGCACUGUGCAAACACGAAAGUGGACGUAUACGGUGUGACGCCUGCCCGGUGCCGGAAGGUUAAUUGAUGGGGUCAGCGCAAGCGAAGCUCCUGAUCGAAGCCCCGGUAAACGGCGGCCGUAACUAUAACGGUCCUAAGGUAGCGAAAUUCCUUGUCGGGUAAGUUCCGACCUGCACGAAUGGCGUAAUGAUGGCCAGGCUGUCUCCACCCGAGACUCAGUGAAAUUGAACUCGCUGUGAAGAUGCAGUGUACCCGCGGCAAGACGGAAAGACCCCGUGAACCUUUACUAUAGCUUGACACUGAACAUUGAGCCUUGAUGUGUAGGAUAGGUGGGAGGCUUUGAAGUGUGGACGCCAGUCUGCAUGGAGCCGACCUUGAAAUACCACCCUUUAAUGUUUGAUGUUCUAACGUGGACCCGUUACCCGGGUUGCGGACAGUGUCUGGUGGGUAGUUUGACUGGGGCGGUCUCCUCCUAAAGAGUAACGGAGGAGCACGAAGGUUGGCUAAUCCUGGUCGGACAUCAGGAGGUUAGUGCAAUGGCAUAAGCCAGCUUGACUGCGAGCGUGACGGCGCGAGCAGGUGCGAAAGCAGGUCAUAGUGAUCCGGUGGUUCUGAAUGGAAGGGCCAUCGCUCAACGGAUAAAAGGUACUCCGGGGAUAACAGGCUGAUACCGCCCAAGAGUUCAUAUCGACGGCGGUGUUUGGCACCUCGAUGUCGGCUCAUCACAUCCUGGGGCUGAAGUAGGUCCCAAGGGUAUGGCUGUUCGCCAUUUAAAGUGGUACGCGAGCUGGGUUUAGAACGUCGUGAGACAGUUCGGUCCCUAUCUGCCGUGGGCGCUGGAGAACUGAGGGGGGCUGCUCCUAGUACGAGAGGACCGGAGUGGACGCAUCACUGGUGUUCGGGUUGUCAUGCCAAUGGCACUGCCCGGUAGCUAAAUGCGGAAGAGAUAAGUGCUGAAAGCAUCUAAGCACGAAACUUGCCCCGA
rnacentral:rRNA from 1 species